UUUCUUGCAGAACAGGAUCAGUUACUAUUUCAAAAAUUGCACCAACCGGAGAAGAUGAUGAUGAGUCUGGUGUGGAUUCAGAUUAAGCAUGGUGGCUGUUUGGUUUUUAUUUGUUUUAAAGUGACUGUUUCAGUUUAAAGUGUGUUUAUUUU